UGCGGCACAAUCAAAUGCACACGAUCAAGAAGCUUUGGAGAAUGUAUAAUGUCAUGUACCACCUUACAGAAGA
rnacentral:lncRNA from 1 species